UACGUAGGGUGCAAGCGUUAAUCGGAAUUACUGGGCGUAAAGCGUGCGCAGGCGGUUUUGUAAGUCUGUCGUGAAAUCCCCGGGCUUAACCUGGGAAUGGCGAUGGAGACUGCAAGGCUGGAGUUUGGCAGAGGGGGGUAGAAUUCCACGUGUAGCAGUGAAAUGCGUAGAGAUGUGGAGGAACACCGAUGGCGAAGGCAGCCCCCUGGGUCAAGACUGACGCUCAUGCACGAAAGCGUGGGGAGCAAACAGG
rnacentral:rRNA from 1 species